rnacentral:rRNA from 1 species
UACAGGGGGUGCAAACGUUGCUCGGAAUUAUUGGGCGUAAAGCGCGCGUAGGCGGCUACUUAAGUCGGAUGUGAAGGCCCCUGGCUCAACUGGGGAAGUGCACCCGAAACUGAGUGGCUUGAGUACUAAAGAGGGUCGCGGAAUUCCCGGUGUAGAGGUGAAAUUCGUAGAUAUCGGGAGGAACACCGGUGGCGAAGGCGGCGACCUGGGUAGAUACUGACGCUGAGGCGCGGAAGCGUGUGGAGCAAACAGG